CAUGUGUCCUCUCUUCCUCUGUGCUGGAAGUUGUCCUCAAGCACCUCCUCAGUUGACUCAGGGUCUGUUCAAAAUCCACUGAUGAAAGCAAGUCACAUGACCAAGGCAGAAGUCACUGGGAUAGAUAAGAAUAUCCCAUCUCCCAUGAAGCACUGAUGGAGAGAAAGUAAUUAUGAACAAAUAAGGGAGCACUUUUUAAAAGAGUAAAUGGAGUAGCCACUAAGUAUCAAUGAAGAAAGUGAUGCGUCAGCAUUGGACAGCUGAGACCAGCAGGGUGCUUCUGCUGAAUACAGAUCAUCGAUUUCCUCUUCCUCAGAAAGAUAUUCCUCCAUUUACUCUCUCAAAACCCUUGCUUCCAGUCUAUGUAGCUACAUGCUGUGUGUGAAGUCAAAUCACACUGCUAUAAUAGAGGUGUCUGUGAUUGUUCCUGAUUCAGACAAGACUUUCAGAAGACAAAUACUCCAGUCUUCAUUAGAUUACAGAAAUACAUAAAUAAACCAACAAAGCCAUAGACCUUAGUUCACAUAAAUUGAUAAGAA